rnacentral:rRNA from 1 species
AUUGAACGCUGGCGGCAUGCCUUACACAUGCAAGUUGAACGGUAACAGGUUAAGCUGACGAGUGGCGAACGGGUGAGUAAUGUAUCGGAACGUGCACAGUAGGGGGGGAUAACUGAUCGAAAGAGCAGCUAAUACAGCAUACGACCUGAGGGUGAAAGCGGGAGAUCGCAAGACCUCGCGCGAUUGGAGGUGACGAUAUCAGAUUAGGUAGCUGGUGAGGUAAAGGCUAACCAAGCCGACGAUCUGUAGCUGGUCUGAGAGGACGACCAGCCACACUGGGACUGAGACACGGCCCAGACUUCUACGGGAGGCAUCAGUGGGGAAUUUUGGACAAUGGGCGCAAGCCUGAUCCAGCCAUGCGGCGUGCGGGAAGAAGGCCUUCGGGUUGUAAACCGCUUUUGUCAGAGAAGAAAAGGUUCUGGCUAAUACCUGGGACUAAUGACGGUACCUGAAGAAUAAGCACCGGCUAACUACGUGCCAGCAGCCGCAGUAA